rnacentral:siRNA from 1 species
UCAAAUAAUUCGGGUCAAUUCU